GCCGUGCGCGGUGGCGCGCCCCUGUAGUCCCAGCUACUCGGGAGACUGAGGUGGGAGGAUCGCUUGAGCCCAGGAGUUCUGGGCUGUAGUGCGCUAUGCCAAUCGGGUGUCUGCACUAAGUUUGGCAUUGGUAUGGUAACCUCCCAGGAGUGGGGGACCACCAGGUUGCCUAAGGAGGGGUGAACCGGCCCAGGUCAGAAACGGAGCAGGUCAGAACUAGAACUCCCGUGCUGAUCAGUAGUGGGAUUGCACCUGUGAAUAGCCAUUGCACUCCAGCCUGGGCAACAUAGCCAGACCCCAUCUCU
rnacentral:SRP_RNA from 1 species